UGAAGGUGUGUGAGAGCGCCCGAGAUGGCAGAACAAGAGCUACAGAUGUCUGGGCUCUGGACAGUUUUUCGUCCCUGUGGAGACUACCAUUUACCCCUCUUUGCAAGGUACAGCUGCAUCUGGAAUCAAAUCACGAUGGAUUGAUGUGGAAGAUUUGGGAAUUGGGCAGAUUGCAUCAGAAAAACCUCAAGAUUCUUCAUGCUGGCCUACGGAGUCCCUAACUAAGCCAGAAGCGUUGUGGAAUGCUGCCGAUCGGGUCUGGGUGUCCCCGACUCCCACCUCACAUUGCCCGAGACGACAUCUUUGACACGCCUAGAGCUCCAAUUUGGAUCUUCUAAGCUCAGUUUGGUUCAGAGCCCAGUGCCCUUGUUCUCCUUCAGGACGCGGAGGGAGAAGAGGGUCCCUAAUGCCAUCUGGACCGUCGUGGAGAAUCACUCUCAUGUGGCUUCCAUCCAGGCAGUGCCUCCAGGGCCAGGCCUUCACAACCCCGAACCACCUGUAUCCACCCUAUUCAGGCUACAAGCUCUGUGUGCACAGGAUGUGCAGUAGGCACUCAGGAAAUGUCCACUGAAUGAAUGAGUCUGAUCAACUCUGGAGGCAGUAGCAGAAGCACCGGCACAGCAGAGUCUGGUGGAGGACAGGUGAGGCAGAGGACGGGCUAAGUUGGCACGCUGGCUGGGCACCACAGUUAGGUAUUUGCACCCUGGUCUAGUAGCUUUGGGGCAGGAUCCACUUAGAGUCGUGUCCUAGACAUUUUCCGGACAGAAAAAUUUUGAGCUCAUUUUGUAACGUCUGGAUUAAUGAUCUGGUAAUACUUUUUCUGGCUUUUCAAUAAAUUGUGAAGUGAGUCAAGAAUGACAUUUCUUGAAAGCUCCUUCUCAAUAAUACACC